rnacentral:rRNA from 1 species
GAUGAACGCUAGCGGCAGGCUUAACACAUGCAAGUCGAGGGGCAACACGGGUAGCAAUACCUGGUGGCGACCGGCGCAAGGGUGCGUAACGCGUGAGCAACAUGCCCUAUACAGGGGGAUAAUCCAGGGAAACUUGGUCUAAUAUCCCAUAGUAUUUAGAGGUGGCAUCACCACUAAAUUAAAGCUUCGGUGGUAUAGGAUUGGCUCGCGUGACAUUAGCUGGAUGGUGGGGUAACGGCUCACCAUGGCGAUGAUGUCUAGGGGUUCUGAGAGGAAGACCCCCCACACUGGGACUGAGACACGGCCCAGACUCCUACGGGAGGCAGCAGUGAGGAAUAUUGGACAAUGGAUGGAAAUCUGAUCCAGCCAUGCCGCGUGCAGGAAGACGGCCCUAUGGGUUGUAAACUGCUUUUCCAGGGAGAGAAACUUACGCACGUGUUGCGUGACUGACGGUACCCUGGGAAUAAGCAUCGGCUAACUCCGUGCC